GACAGAGGGGGCAAGCGUUGCUCGGAAUUACUGGGCGUAAAGGGCGCGUAGGCGGGAUGGCAAGUCGGUCGUGAAAUCCCUCGGCUCAACCGAGGAGCGUCGAUCGAAACUGCCGUUCUUGAGGAUUGCAGAGGAGACUGGAAUUCCCGGUGUAGCGGUGAAAUGUGUAGAGAUCGGGAGGAACACCGGUGGCGAAGGCGGGUCUCUGGGCAAUUCCUGACGCUGAGGCGCGAAAGCGUGGGGAGCAAACGGG
rnacentral:rRNA from 1 species